CCCUUUUGGAAUGGGACAGCAGAGGGGGCUGUGUUUCAUCUCAGCGAUCAACUGGUUGACCUAUAUGUGAGACUUUGCAAGCCGAGUGUGAUGAUCCUGCUUAGAAUCCCAGCAUUUGAGAGGCUGAGCCAGCAAAUUGACGGCAAGAUUUUACACUCCUUUGAGGUGAGACAGACCAACAGAUACCUGUAAACCAAUGAGUUCCUUUCAGCACCCUGGGAAUUGCAAGCAGAUGAACAUCGGUCCCUGCCCUCAAGAAAGCAUGCAAUGAUUUUGUGGCAUGGCAGAGAGCAACGGGGAUCCUAAGUGUUCAACUCUCUAGAGAGAGUGCUUAUCACAUCAGCUCCACCUGUGAUGGGAUAUUACACAUAGAUAAUUAAUAAAAUAAAAAGGUUAUAUUUUUACUUUGGCCAACACUUAAA